rnacentral:rRNA from 1 species
CCUACGGGAGACAGCAGUGGGGGAUAUUGCACAAUGGGGGGAACCCUGAUGCAGCGACGCCGCGUGGGUGAAGGAGUGCUUCGGCAUGUAAAGCCCUAUCGGCAGGGAAGAAGCAAGACGGUACCUGACUAAGAAGCCCCGGCUAACUACGUGCCAGCAGCCGCGGUAAUACGUAGGGGGCGAGCGUUAUCCGGAUUCACUGGGUGUAAAGGGAUCGUAGACGGCCAUGCAAGCCAGGGGGGAAAGCCCGGGGCCCAACCCCGGGACUGCCCUUGGAACUGUGCGGCUAGAGUGCGGGAGGGGCAGGCGGAAUUCCUGGUGUAGCGGUGAAAUGCGGAGAUAUCAGGAGGAACACCGGCGGCGAAGGCGGCCUGCUGGACUGCGACUGACGUUGAGGCUCGAAAGCGUGGGGAGCGAACAGGAUUAGAUACCCUUGUAGUC